rnacentral:rRNA from 1 species
GACGAACGCUGGCGGCGCGCCUAACACAUGCAAGUCGAACGAGCGAGAGAGAGCUUGCUUUCUCGAGCGAGUGGCGAACGGGUGAGUAACGCGUGAGGAACCUGCCUCAAAGAGGGGGACAACAGUUGGAAACGACUGCUAAUACCGCAUAAGCCCACGGUGCCGCAUGGCACAGAGGGAAAAGGAGCAAUCCGCUUUGAGAUGGCCUCGCGUCCGAUUAGCUAGUUGGUGAGGUAAUGGCCCACCAAGGCAACGAUCGGUAGCCGGACUGAGAGGUUGAACGGCCACAUUGGGACUGAGACACGGCCCAGACUCCUACGGGAGGCAGCAGUGGGGAAUAUUGCACAAUGGGGGAAACCCUGAUGCAGCGACGCCGCGUGGAGGAAGAAGGUCUUCGGAUUGUAAACUCCUGUUGUUGGGGAAGAUAAUGACGGUACCCAACAAGGAAGUGACGGCUAACUACGUGCCAGCAGCCGCGGUAAAACGUAGGUCACAAGCGUUGUCCGGAAUUACUGGGUGUAAAGGGAGCGCAGGCGGGAAGACAAGUUGGAAGUGAAAUCUAUGGGCUCAACCCAUAAACUGCUUUCAAAACUGUUUUUCUUGAGUAGUGCAGAGGUAGGCGGAAUUCCCGGUGUAGCGGUGGAAUGCGUAGAUAUCGGGAGGAACACCAGUGGCGAAGGCGGCCUACUGGGCACCAACUGACGCUGAGGCUCGAAAGUGUGGGUAGCAAACAGGAUUAGAUACCCUGGUAGUCCACACCGUAAACGAUGAUUACUAGGUGUUGGAGGAUUGACCCCUUCAGUGCCGCAGUUAACACAAUAAGUAAUCCACCUGGGGAGUACGACCGCAAGGUUGAAACUCAAAGGGAAUUGACGGG